CUCGCUCUGUUGCCCAGGCUAGAGUGCAGUGGCACCAUCAUAGCUCACUGCAGCCUUUCGACCUCCUGGACUCAGCUGAUCCUCCUGCCCCAGCCUCUCUAGUAGCUGAGACCACAAACGAGCGCCACCAUGCCCAGGGGCACAUACCGAAAUAUUUGCAGAUGAGGAUGAUGUGAUUCUGGUGGGCAGCCAAUGAGUGGGGAUACAGAGGAAGCAAGUUUGACCCUGAAUUGAUAAUCACUGGAGCAGAAUGACGGGGACACAGAGGAUGACCACAAUUUCCAGUUCCUCUUUGGGCAGCUGGGCUUUGGAGAUCUCCCAGAAAGGACUCU
rnacentral:lncRNA from 10 species